rnacentral:lncRNA from 1 species
UUGGUACUGGUACAGUGGAGUAAAUGCCUCAGCAAUAGGCGGCUGUUUCUGCUCAUUAACAGUUUUCUGAGCAUCCAACACCGCCUGCAACUGCUCUCUCAACGCACGGACUUCUUCCGCAGUGGCCAUCGUCUUGAGUGUGGCUUUAGAUUUCUGGCGGAGUGAAGCUUCAAGUUCCGGAUCAAAAUCUACUAGAGGUAAAUUUUUAGAUCUUGUGUUCAUGCACCACCUAAACACUUCACCAGAAUCAAUUUAGAACCACAGGAAAAGAAAAAGAACAGAAAUAAAUAACAGAAAAAAAAAAUCCAGAGUAGUAUCAAACAAUUAACAGAAUAGUACUGAUAAAAAUCAGUCCCCGGCAACGGCGCCAAAAACUUGUUCGCUAUUUUAUUUAACACGCCGCAAGUGUACGGGUGCAAUUGUGUACAGUAGCAAGCAAGGUCGUAUUCC